CAUCCUUUUAUAGAUAGCACAAAGACUUGUCCAAGGUCAUCAUUCAUUUCCUCAAGGUGACCUGAUUCGCAGCCAGAUGCUCAUCGUGCUCCAGCAGCUGUGGUGAGCUCCCUCUCCUCUUCUGGCAGGGAAAGGAGGUACCCAAGGCCCUAUGUUGCUCCCAAACAAAGCCAGGUCGUCUGAGACCUCAGGGAGGUACCUUCAUGACCCAUUAUUGGCCACUGCAAGUCUUGAAGACGGACAUACCCUUACAAAAGGCAUAAGGAUAUUGCAUGGAUCUUCCUACUGGGCUGUAGGCUGUGCUCCAAUUUACUAGUAAAUGGAACUCUGGGUAGUAGGGUCCUCUUCUCUUUGCACCAUCCUGAGUCCAUGGGCUUGACCUCUACCCCUCCAUCUCCUGCCUGUGUAAGAUCCAAAAGUCCAGCCUAAUUCUCCUUUCCUACAUCCACAGCAAAUGCUCCUGCCUUGGAUUAUUUUAGGACUGUGAUUCCUCUCCUGGAGCAUGGUCUCCAUCCGAAUGAAGAGAUGUGUGGGUGGCCAUGUGAAACACAUACGGAGCAUCACUGCAUUUGCGCAAUUUCCACCUCAAAUCUGAACCUGGUCAUGCAAGCCUGAAGACAGCUGGCUUCCCCGAGACAGCCUAGCCCAGCAUCAUAAUGUGGGCUGCUGUCAGUUAGACCCAGUCUGGGGCUGCCAAAUUAAUGAGCCCCUAGACUAUCCAAGAUGAUCUGCACAGUGGCUUCUGUUCUUUCCCUGGCUUCAUCUUUAUAGCUGUCCUCAGUGAGAUGAGCACUGAAGAAGAAUUAAAUAAGGCCAUGAGCACAUCAACAAUGAGAAUGGUCAAUAUCACCUAUGCUGAGGCUUUACCUGGGGCCAGAGGCCAGGAUUUGUCCAGAAAAUUUGUACCUUUAGGGUGCCAGCAAGGUGGAGAACUUGUCCUUGUCUGCACCCUAUUUCAUCUGACUUGCUCUAAACCCUUCAUCAGAACCUGAACCAGAGCUGAGGUUCACAUGGAUAAUCUCUCCCUUGAGGCAGAGUUAACUCUCUUCGGCCUACAGACAGCAAAGGAGAAUGAUAUUCAAUGGAAAAAUUCAAUGUUCUCAGGCUACUCAAAACUUCCUGU
rnacentral:lncRNA from 1 species